rnacentral:rRNA from 1 species
CCUACGGGAGGCAGCAGUGGGGAAUAUUGCACAAUGGGGGCAACCCUGAUCCAGCAACGCCGCGUGAGUGAAGAAGUCUUUCGGUACGUAAAGAUCUAUCAGCAGGAAAGAAAAUGACGGGACCUGACUAAGAACCCCCGGCUAACUACGGGCCAGCAGCCGCGGUAAUACGGAGGGGGGAAGGGUUAUCCGGAGUUACUGGGUGUAAAGGGAGGGUAGAGGGCAGUGCAAGCCUGGAGUGAAAGUCCGGGGCCAAACCCCGGACCUGCUUGUGAAACUGUGAAGCUUGAGUGAAGGAGAGGUAAGCGGAAUUCCUGGUGUAGCGGUGAAGUGCGGAGAUAUCAGGAGGAACACCUGCGGCGAAGGCGGCUUACUGGACUGUAACUGACGUUGAGGCUCGAAGGCGUGGGGAGCAAACAGGAUUAGAUACCCGGGUAGUC